GAUGAACGCUGACAGAAUGCUUAACACAUGCAAGUCGAUGGGGAAGUGGUGCUUGCACCAUGGCAACCAUGGCGGACGGGUGAGUAACGCGUAAGGGACUUACCUGCAGGACUGGGAUAACAGGGGGAAACUCCUGACAAGACCGGAUAAUGUCAUGGAGCUGCAUGGCUUUAUGAUGAAAGGAGACGCCUGCGGAGAGCCUUGCGUCCUAUUAGCUAGUUGGUGAGGUAAUGGCUCACCAAGGCGAAGAUAGGUAGCCGGCCUGAGAGGGUGGACGGCCACAAGGGGACUGAGAUACGGCCCUUACUCCUACGGGAGGCAGCAGUGGGGAAUAUUGGACAAUGGGGGCAACCCUGAUCCAGCAAUUCUGUGUGCACGAAGAAGGUUUUCGGAUUGUAAAGUGCUUUGAGCAGGGAAGAAGUAAGUGACGGUACCUGCAGAAGAAGCGACGGCUAAAUACGUG
rnacentral:rRNA from 1 species